GGAUGAGGUAGAGGUGCAAUGCGAAUCAGUACCCACUUGGAGUUUGAUGGAACUAGGAAGAGUGGGGAAAGGUCAAUUUGCCGAAGUGAAUGUAUGUCCAUCCCAUACGUUUGCUGGGUCGUUUUUGAAUAAAAAACGAACUGCCGCUGACUGUUAGCGGAGAGCUAUCUGCCAA
rnacentral:ncRNA from 2 species